rnacentral:rRNA from 1 species
AACGAACGCUGGCGGCAUGCCUAACACAUGCAAGUCGAACGGGAUCUUCGGGUCUAGUGGCGCACGGGUGCGUAACGCGUGGGAAUCUGCCCUUUGGUUCGGAAUAACAGUUGGAAACGACUGCUAAUUCCGGAUGAUGACGAAAGGCCAAAGAUUUAUCGCCAGAGGAUGAGCCCGCGUAGGAUUAGCUAGUUGGUGUGGUAAAGGCGCACCAAGGCGACGAUCCUUAGCUGGUCUGAGAGGAUGAUCAGCCACACUGGGACUGAGACACGGGCCAGACUCCUGCGGGAUGCAGCAGUGGAGAAUAUUGGACGAUGGGCGAAAGCCUGAUCCAGCAAUGCCGCGUGAGUGAUGAAGGCAUUAGGGUUGUAAAGCUCUUUUACCCGGGAUGAUAAUGACAGUACCGGGAGAAUAAGCUCCGGCUAACUCCGUGCCAGCCGCCGCGGUAA